AUAGCUUUAGGGCUAGCCUCAAGGUGAGAGAUACGGAGGUAGAGCACUGAAUGUCCUAGGGGGUAUUGCACCUACCGAAGACUAUCAAACUCCGAAUGCCGUCAUCUUAUACUUGGGAGUCAGACUGUGGGUGAUAAGAUUCAUAGUCGAAAGGGCAACAGCCCAGAUCGUCAGCUAAGUUCCCUAAAUGUAAGUUAAUUGGUAAAGGAUGUGGGAUUGAACAGACAACCAGGAUGUUGGCUUAGAAGCAGCCACUCAUUCAAAGAGUGCGUAAUAGCUCACUGGUCGAGUGAUCCUGCGCCGAAGAUUUCCGGGGCUAAAACUUACUACCGAAGCUACGGCAUCAGUAAUGAUGGGUAGGGGAGCGUCCCAUACGGGUGGAUGCAGGAGCGUAUGGAGAUGUGGAGAGUAUGGGAGUUAGAAUGUUGGCAUGAGUAGCGAGAUGUGGGUGAGAAUACCACAGGCCGUAAACCCAAGGUUUCCAGGGGAAGGUUCGUCCGCCCUGGGUUAGUCGGGACCUAAGCUGAGGCCGAAAGGCGUAGG
rnacentral:rRNA from 1 species